rnacentral:lncRNA from 1 species
GGAAGAAAGGAAUAACGGCUUGUUCCUCCUGGUUGGUUUCCUGUUUUGUUUUAAGCCCUUUGUUUUAUAAUUAUAAUUGCAGAGAGACUUGUAGGAAAUGAAAUCUCAUGCUCGCUCACCGUUUGCAGGUUGCGAGGGGAGGGGAUGAUUGUAUCUCAGCGACCUUAUUCUACCUUGCUUGUGUUUCCAUACUUGUUGAACAGAGGGAAAUGAGAUUUAUUUUCUGUGAUUUAUUUUCCACUUCUGUGAUUUAUUUUUCACAUUUUUCUAUGUAUGUUUAUGAUUAUCCUUAGUCUUUCUAUGCUUAUACUCAAAACUUUCUCUGAUUUGUUACUACUAUUUUUAUACAUUGUUUGGAGCAUAUUUUAUACAUUUUGUUGUUGGUUGGGUGCUAAGAAUUUUUUGCAUGUAGAUCCGAAGGAAAGAUAAUAGUUUUUAUAUUUGCAUGUAUAGAUUUAGAUGCAUGGUGAAACUGUGAUUAUGUUUAGUUGGAUUUUGUUUCCACCCUAAUUGAUUUCAAAUUCUAAAUUUUGAAGAAGUCUGUAUACAUUGUGGAGCACUCUUCUAUGCACUGUUAGAACAAUUCAAUAUAUAUUGUUUGAAUAAUUAUCUCUAUGUACCUACGCAGCCUUAGAUUUUUGGUUUAGAUGCACUAUUAGAAUAAUUAUCUGCGCACAAUUCUUCUAUGCUUAGUUGUAUGGGUUUUAUCUGAUUUUUUGUUGCAGCCUUGGAUGAAUAGGUGGUUUGCAUGAAAUGAAAAGCUACAAACGCAAGUAAGCAGGAUUUCUAUUCUUUGAUUUUGAUUUUUAUGCAUUUUCCUUGAUAUUAUGUGCAAUGAAUAUGUUUUUGUGCAAUUGACUUUUGGAUCUUUAUGCUUCGUGGGUUAUACGCUCGAUGUUAAGAUUUUACACAUUCAGAACCAUUCUGGUGGCAAGUCCACUGCAUGAUGUAGUCCACGACCGCGGUGCUAAUAUGGAGCAGCGGUGGCGGUUGGUGGCGUGUAGUUCAUGGCGUCGGCGCUAGUGCGAAUCAGUGGUGGUGGUCGGUUCGAUAGAAGAUAGCAAAGGAGCGGCACGACGCGGCCAAGGAUUUUUGCAUUUUGUUUGUUGAAUUUAGUGUUCUUAUGCUUGUGUGCAUAAGUUUCUAUACACACAAUGGAGCACUUCUAUGCAUUUUUGUAUUCUUAAUGCUUGUGAGCAUAAAUUUCUAUACAUUAUUGGAGCAGGUCUAUGUUGUUUUUAUGUGACAAUAAAUUCACUUUUUAUUCAUCAAAUUACUAAAUUCUAUGUAAUGCCGGUACGAAAAAGAUUUAAGUGUAUCUUGAUCAUUGAAUUUAUGAAUCUGGUCGUCUAUCACGUGUUAUUUUUUCAAAAUUUUAAAUUUUUGAGAAGAAGAGAUCGUCUUUUAUGUUUUACAUGUGCGGUUCUCAUGUUCUAUGUGUUUCUAUACAUCGUUUCCUAUAUUACUUAUGCAUCCUCUCUAGAAUGCAAGGUGUGGUUGGACGCGGUCACGAUUUUUCAAAUUAAUAAUAUGCAGAAGGGAGGGUUUUUACGCGACAAUAAAAUUAUUCUUAUUCACCAAACCACUAAUUUAUAUGCAACGUUAGCGCAAAAAACUUUUCUACGCAUUUUGACUAUUUGAUUCUAUGCAUCUAAUCGUCAUCACGUGCCAUGAUUCAAAUCCCGGUUGUGUCAGAUGAAAUGUCCAUCUCGCGGCUUUAGAUGGUAACAAAAUUAAUUUUUAUUCAUCCAACCACUAACUUCUAUAUAACGUCAGCAUCAAAAACUUUCUGUGCAUCUUGGCUAUUGAUUUUAUGCAUCCAAACGGCCAUCACAUACCAUGAUUCAAAAGUCAAAGUUUAGAGGAAGACGAGAUCAUCUCCAUAUUUUUACACGUCCAGUCUCUAUGUUUUAUGAAUUGUUCCUAUGUUAGUUAUACACCCUAUAGUGAGGAGCAUAAUAUUGUUGGAGGCAAUUACGGUUGUUUCGUGGAAUAUCUAUCUCGCAGAGAAGUUUUUAUGCGAUAACAAAAUUAAUUUUUAUUCACCCAACAACUAAUUUCUAUGCAACAUCGACGUAAAAACGUUUUUACGCAUCUUGAUACUGGUAUAUUGGGAGCCCUGGGCUACAAAUACUUAUUGGAAGCCCCAACCAACACCCCCACCUAGCCCCUGCCUGCGCACAAGUGGGGGACCCCAGACAUUCAACCAAUGCCACUCAGUCCACCAUUCAGGUCAACUGAGCUGACACGCACAGCAGAUGGGGACUGUAGUGGACCCUGUCAAUCGGAUGCAUAAAAAUAUAGGUAAAGCUGCAUAGAAAAGUUUUGGUCGCAAUGUUGCAUAGAAAUUAGUUGAUGGAUGAAUUAAAACUAAUUCGUUAUUGCGUAAAAACCUUUCUGCGAGUUAGACGUUCCACCUGUUCCACCUAACUACACCUGACAGAGGCUGACACGCGCUGACACAUGCUGAUACAUGUAUGCGUCUUCCAUUGUAUUCUCUUCUAUUUUUCCACGAUAAUUCCUCGAUGGAGCUUUCAAUUUUAAAAUGGUUUUGAUCAUUGAACUCCUGACAUUUUUAUGCACGAUUCAAGAUCCACUUUGAAUAUUUUUGAAACAAAAUUAAAAUUUAAAAUUUGAAUCAUGGCACGUGAUAACGAUUAGAUGCAUAGAAUCAAUAGUCAAAAUACGUAAAAAAGUUUUUGGCGCCAUUGUUGCAUAGAAAUUAGUGGUUUGAUGAAUAAGAAUAAUUUCAUUGUCGCGUAAAAACCCUCCCUUCUGCAUAUUAUUGAUUUGAACAAUCGUGACCGCGUCCAACCACAUAUUGCUUUCUAGAGGGGAUGCAUAAGUAAUAUAGGAAACAAUGUAUAGAAACACAUAAAACCCUUCCCACUAUUGAAGAGGAUCGUAACCACAACCAUAGCCGCUCAUACCCACACCAUACUUUCCACCAGGGGAUAUUUAUUUAACAGAGGAACAACGCAUAGAAACCGAGUCAACAACAUAUUAAAAACCAACCGAGGUUACAUAGAAACAAAGUUUUGCUCAUCUCAUCCAAGCAUAUAAAUACAUCAUGGAAAACUAACUUUUUACAUUAACCAAUCAACUAUAUUAAGAUCACACGACGCCACCGCCACGAGUCGUGGACAUCACAAGCCAUGUCAUAUGUCUGAGGCACCAUUGACCUCUCACACCAAAUGGAAAGAAAUCCUUCCAACCAUGCUACAUCACAACAAAGCCACCAUUGACCUCCCACCAAAUAGAGGAAUCUAUUUUAACCAUCCUACAUCACAACAAAGGCAAUAGAAACAUGUUUUAGUAGGAGAAGAAACCUUACAAAAGUAAGGCAUAGAAACAUGUUUCUUACAAUAUGCAUAGAAAAGUUUUGCCGGCAUUGCAUAGAAAUUAGUGGCUCAAUAAAUAAAAGUUAAUUUUGUGAUCGCAUAAAACCUCUCCACAAGAUGGGCAUCCUCCGUAGACAACUGUAAUUACCUCCACUGAUAUCACUAGGGGUGUAUAAUUAACAUGGGAACAAUACAUAGAACAUGGAGAUCACACACGUAAAAGAUGAAUACGGUCUCAUUUUCUCUAAUUUUUUAAAAAUAGCAUGUAAUGGGCGAUCAGAUUCAUAGAAUCAGUAAGCUGCGCAGAAAUAUUUUUGGCACAUGUAUAGAAAUUAGUAGUUAAAUGCAUAAAGAUUAAAUUUGUUACCACAUAAAAACCACAUAGCAACUGCUCCAACAAUGUAUCGAAUUAUGUGUCAAUAAUGUAUAGAAAUAUAUACCGACAGUGUAUACCAAGUAUCAGCUAGAAAUGUAUCCAAAAUUCAAAAGUGCAUGAAAAUGCAUGAAUUGCAUAAAAUCACUGGUUGCCUGCAUAUAGAAAGCACAAUGGACAAAAUCACUGGUUGCAUGAUUCAAAUUUUGGAACAUUGCAUAGAGACUAAAAUCGAAUCAAAACAUAUAAAUCCAUGGCAUAGAAACUAUGGCUCAAGACCUGUGGAAGACAUCCUUGACCGCGUCACGCCAUUGCUGUUGUCCACACCACCAUCCACCACCACCCAUUCGCACCACACUCAUACAUGCAGUUUCACAAAUAACGGGUAAUUCGUUUAGACAGCAAGACAGGCAUAGGAACAUGUUUUAGCAGGAGAAGGCAUAUGAACUUGAGCAAGAUAGACAUAGAAACAUGAUUUAGUAGGCGCAUAAACCUUAUAUCAGCAAAAGAAAGACAUAUAUCAAGGAGAUGCAUAAAAACUCAAAAUCAACCACGUAGAAAUCUUGCUUGCCUACUUUGGUAGCUCUUCAUUUCAUGCAGACCUUUUGUCAUAUAAGCAUGGAUACCACUCUCACAAAUCAUAAAAAUAUGACAUGAAAAUACUAAAAACCAUAUUUCUAGGCAUCUAUCGAACAAUAGGCUAGCAGCAUCUCCAAUUCCGCACUUCAAAGGGAGCUCACGAGCAGGCCUAGCAUGCUCCCCCUAAAUCGCCGAGUGGAUGCAUAGAAACCAUUCUCGUUCAAGCAAAAACCAAAUCCUGCUUGCUUAUACGGUUGACUUUAAGCAUAGAAAUAAAAAUCAAUUGCAAAGUCGAGGAUUCCAAACAUACUAGUGUCACUUCUGGCCGCCGUGCUGGAUGUGUCCUCAUCUAGAAGCUCAUCAACACCAUGGCAGUAGUCCUGUUCUCCAGUAGGCUGGUUGUCUUCCGAUUUGCUGGCAAAAAAACACGCCAAAUCAAAACUAAAAAUUAUGCAUGCAAACAUAGUAACCAAAGGAAAGCAAGAAAAAUAUUUUUUUUGAACAAAACUGGCAUAGAAACAUUUUUUAUACCAUAUAGAAAUAUGUUUUAGCAUGUAUAGAAACCUUACAGUGGCACGAAAGGCGUAUAGAACAGCAUAGAAACUUGUUUUUAGCAAUUUGGAUAUGCUUUACGAUAACCCAACUCACUCCCAUUCAACAUGGGUAGUACUCCAAAUGGGUUGGAAAACAAAUAAAAAGUGCAUGUACAGUGAAACAAUUUGGAUAAAUUGGAGAACUUUCCAACAGCAGUCAUAUUAAUCAAUAAAAAGUAACUAGCAGAAAAGUUAUAGAAAUUUUGUGACUAUAAUUACGAGAAAAAAAAACAACACAAAAAGUAAUGAACUCGAAUCCAUGCUCCAAAUAAUAUAUAAAAUAUGCUCCAACAAUAUAUAUACAAUUCCAAAUGAUUUCUUGAUUAUAUGGUUGGCUCAAGAAGCAUAGAAAUAAAAAAUCAAAGUACAUAAAAACAAUAUACAAAAACCAUUAUUUUAUUUAGUCAUCUCGCCAAUCAAUUGCUAUGCAUAGAAAAUUAUGUAUAGAAUCAUGAACUUUGCAUAAAAAAGUACUCCAACUAUAUAUAUAACCGUAUAGAAGUGCACAAUUAAUUGCUCCAACAGUGUAGAGUAAUUUGUUGUAACAAUAUAUGUAAUACAUAUCAAGCUAUAGUUUAGCCAUGCAUAGAAACUUAUGCACACAUGCAUAAUAACUAAAAAAUCUACAAACAAAACAAUGAAGAUGAAUUAUGCACAAACCACAAACAUGGAUCUUUGUAUCUACUGCUAGGAUUAAAAUACAGGAGGAUCAUAUUGGACAUCUGAGCAAUGCAUCUAUGCAUACAAAUCACCCAGCAACUUUGAAAACCACAGUUCCACCAUGCAUAGAAACUAGUAUGUUAGUAUACAAUUCACCCAACUGUUGGAUCUCGCUGCUACAACACACCCUACUCCUCCGUUAGAUGAGGAUGAGUAUGCUGCUCGCCGUGUUGUAGAGAGGAGAAAGGUCAGCAUGCUAAAGUGAGGAGGAAGAUCCAUAACACCGUUGACCUCUCACAAAUAGAGAGGAAUCCUUCCAACCAUCCUACAUCACAGCAAAGGCAUAGAAACAUAUUUGAGCAGUGCACAAAAAUGACAGUGGCAAAGAAAGGCAUAUAAAAGAAGUUUUAGUACGUGCACAAACCUUACAGCGGCAAGAAUGCCAUAUACACAUGUUUUAGCAGUUGCAUAAAAGCUAUUCAUGAAACUAAUGUCAUCUACAUAAAUGCAAAAAUCAUAACAACAUAGCAUAUAAAUCUAACUUGUCAAGCAUAGAAACCUAUUAGUGAAAUUAAUAUCAGCUACAUUAAUUAAAAAGUCACGGACCAUUCAGGUGUUGCAAGUAUAUAAAUCAAAAUCCAAAGCAUGGGAUAGGACAACUAGUUCAUCCAAUGAAGGCAAUGAGUUGUCUUGCCACAUUAUGGCUACCUAAAUUAGAGUGCACAAAUACCAGGAACCAUUUUUAUGCAUGUUACUAAAUAAAUAAGUAAACUGAAUUAAUGCAGCUCGCAAAAGCUCCACCACCGUCGUGGCCUCCCUGGCCAGCUGUUUGACGACCUCGCCAAUCUGCCAAUCUGUGGCCCAAAUGAUGGAAAAAUAAAAGUCAGAGAAAAAAAAUGAAAGAGGAAGCAAGAUGCAUAUCAUAGAAAUAGGAUUAGGCACUGAUUCUAAUUUCUGUAACUUGUAUUGGAUGGAGCAGGGAAGUGAAUAGGAGUUGGAAACCUGUUCCCUAGGGAAGGCCUCGGCGCCAUCGAAGGCGAAGUAGAUGUGCGGCGUCUUCUCCAUGAGGGAGCGCCACUGCUCCACGAGCAGGGCCUUGCCAAUGCAUGCACACUGCUACAUCACCACAUCAUGUCAGGGAAGGGAGACGACCUCGCCGCAGCGGCGAUGUGGAAGCUGCCGCCACUAGCCAUGGGGGGCGGGGAGAGGACGCCGUCUCUGGUCUGGUCGGGGUGGAGAGGAGGCUGUCUCUGGGGCAUCCCAGAUCUGGGCACGAGGUCCAUGGGCCUCACACCACGAGCCUCCUUGGCGCCGGUGAAGGGGAGGCCGAGGAGGGCGUCGCUGCCUCUUCUUCUGGAUCCACCACAGGACGAUGCUGCGCCCAAGAUCCAAGCGAGCAACACUGCCACCAUGUUCCUGGAUGUCCUUGGAGUGGUUGCAGGGGAGGGGAGCCGGCACCAUGGGAUGGAGGAGGCGCCGUGUCCGCCGGUGGAGCAGGGUGGGGCGCCGCCACCGUGGAGAGGUCGCACGAGAGAGGAGGAUUUUCUUUUUUUUUCUAAAUCUCGACGCAGCCUGGGUGCCUCCCAUUUGAACCCGCAACCUUUGGGUUGCGGUGGGGCGCCUGGUCUUACCAUAUUGGAGUGGCCCUGCAGCUGGUUCGCUGGAACCAGCUUGGCUGUUUGGAUUCGGGCUUCCUAUAUCUAUUGAAAGCCCUAAGCUCCUAAUAGUAUACCUAUAUAUAUAUAUAGGUAUGCUCCUAAUAGUAUACCUAUAUAUAUAUAUAUAGGUAUACUAUUGAGAGCAUAGGGCUUCUAAUAAUUAGUGGAAGCCCUAACCCAAAUCUGUGUUUUCUGGUUCCACCAACCCACCAGCCCACUGGCCUAUCCAUCGGCCCACCUUCCCAAGCCCUAUAUAUAUUCUUCAAAACCCUAAUCCCACUCUUCCCCUCACCUGGCCGCCACCCUCAACAGGCGCCGCCCCAAUCCCUGGCCUCGACCCGCGGCGGCGCGACAUCACCACUUCCCCGGCGCGACAUCACCACUUCCGGCUCCUGUGAUGCCUACAUCCUUGAGCGCGCAGAGGCGGAGCCACAACGCGGCGACCUCGGCGAGGAGCGCCUCGCGCUUGGCGCGCCCGCGCGACUCCUUGCGGAGCCAUCGCUGCUCCUUGCGGAGCCACCGCGCCUCCUCGCCCUCCUCCCAGGACGACGAGGGUCCAGCAGCGGCGCGGGGCGGGAGGACAACCGCGGCGGCGCGGGGCGAGCAGCUGGGCCAGAGCUGCGGGCGGUGGAAGGCGGUGGAGACAAACAGGAAGGCCACACGCGCGUCGUGCUCGGGUUGGCCCCGCGCUCGUGGAGCUUGGCGAGCCCGAAGUCGCCGAGCCGCGCUGACAUGUUGGCGUCGAGGAGCACGUUGCUGGCCUUAACAUCGCGGUGGAGGACGACGCUCUCCCACCCUUCGUGCAGGUACAGCAGUGCCGACACGACAUCGCGGAGGAUCCAGUGGCGGACAGGCCACGUCAGGCGGCGACGCCUUGAGGUGGUCGUCGAAGAGGUGCCGAAGAGGUGGCAUUUUUUAUGCAUUUUUCUUGAUAUUAUGUGCAAUGAAUAUGUUUUUGUGCAAUUGACUUUUGGAUCUUUAUGCUUCGUGGGUUAUAUGCUUGAUGUUAAGAUUUUACACAUUCAGAACCAUUCUGGUGGCAAGUCCACUGCAUGAUGUAGUCCACGACCGCGGUGCUAGUAUGAAGCAGCGGUGGCGGUUGGUGGCGUGUAGUUCAUAGCGUCGGCGCUAGUGCGAAUCAGUGGUGGUGGUCGGUUCGAUGGAAGAUAGCAAAGGAGCGGCACGAUGCGGCCAAGGAUUUUUGCAUUUUGUUUGUUGAAUUUAGUGUUCUUAUGCUUGUGUGCAUAAGUUUCUAUACACACAAUGGAGCACUUCUAUGCAUUUUUGUAUUCUUAAUGCUUGUGAGCAUAAAUUUAUAUACAUUAUUGGAGCAGGUCUAUGUUGUUUUUAUGCGACAAUAAAUUCACUUUUUAUUCAUCAAAUUACUAAAUUCUAUGUAAUGCCGG